AUGGCUUUUUUUCAUUUUAUUGGGUAAGUGUUGUCCCAGGUUAAUACUAUAGUUUUCUAACUGUUCUGUUGCAAGUGUGGCUGACUUGGCUUGAGGAGAAUGGAUAAGGGUCUGAGAGGGCUGGGAAGAAAAGUAUCAAGGUGGAAAGGGAGA